UGAGUAGCACAGACGAUCGCGGCUGCGAAUGCCGAAAGGCUGCAGGUGAGGAAAGUCCGGGCUUCAUAGGGCAGGAUGCCGGAUAACGUCCGGUGGAGGUGACUCCCAGGCUAGUGCAACAGAGAAUGACCGCCGGCUUCGGUACUUUGUACCGGGCAGGUAAGGGUGAAACGGUGAGGUAAGAGCUCACCGCGUCCCUGGUAACAGGGAUGGCAGAUGUAAACCCCAUCCGAAGCAAGACCGAACAGGAACAAUACGGCGGCCCGUCGUGUUCCGGGUAGGUUGCUUGAGGCUGCUGGUGACAGUAGUCCUAGAUAGAUGAUCGUUUGAUACAGAACUCGGCUUAUAGUGUUACUCACUAU
rnacentral:RNase_P_RNA from 1 species